CUUGUACUUGGAAGUUAAACUAUGUUUUUGAAUUUUUCUGAGAGCUUAUAUAUGGUGUUUUAUCCUUUUUAAGAUAUUUCUUGGGGUUUCCAAGUGGUUUGAGGUUUAGAAAAGCUUGAAGAGAUUGUUUUCGCCGAAAAGUUGCUCGGAUAAGCACAUCAAUACCUAAGACACCACUUGUUACAUGGUGAACUAUAUUUUGGACAAAAGGUAAGUAAAGUACUCAACUGCAACACAAGAAUUAUGUGUUAUGUGAAAGUAUGCAUUAUAUGAAUAUUUUGUGAGUAAGUGGUAUUAACAUACAGUGACACUUCAUCAUAAAUUUGUAUGCAUGGCAUAAUAGUGAUAUGGUAAAUUAUUAUAUGAUAUAAGACCAUGCAUGAUAUUAUGAUGAUUAAUUAUAUGAUGCAUUUGCAAGUUUUGUGCAACAUAAAAUAAAGUUGUUAUAAGAAGUUUAAGUUCAGUGCCACUGUUUUGAAAAGGCAAAUGAAAGUGUUAGUAAGUGUAAACGGAGGCCUAUAGUAGGCUUAUAGUGGCUGCCCAAUAAUUUAGGCUAGGUUUUAGUGAACUAAUUAUAUUGUUUGCCAUGUUUCCGUUUUUAUUUCUCCUCCAUAUGAGUUAUUGUUAUAUGUAUUGACACCACAGUGUGUGGCCGCCUUAACUCUUGAGCCCAACGGGGCAACGAUGGAAUAAGGUUUUUAAUGUGCCCUACUGUGGUGAUGGCUAGCCGGAGGAGAACCCAUGGGAUUUUGUAUUAUAUGUGUAACAAGCCCUGCAGGCAUUGACCAAUUCAAACAGUGUGCACAAUAUUAAGGGGCCCAAAAUUUAAAAAGAAGUUGUAUAUGUCCAUUGAUAUUGGGUAAUCAUUAGCAUUGCAUGCAUUACUUUGCUUACUGAGCUUUAGGCUCACAGUUGUCUUGUGUUGCAAGUAGAGAAAGAAAUGUGUGAAUGACAUGAGGAGAACUGAAGCAUGGUCCUGACCCUGAUUUGUACAUAUGAACAUAUCGACCUUUUUGUGGGUUAUUUCAGUUAUCAGUGAGAUGUUUGUAAUAAAGUGUGAAGUUAUGUUUUGAAAACAAAUUGGGUUAUUUAAUACUUAUGUAUAAUAUGUUUGAGACCCACUUUAUGUUUAAUGUAAAUAAUGUGAAAUAA